UACAGAGGGGGCAAGCGUUGUUCGGAAUUACUGGGCGGAAAGAGCGCGUAGGCGGCCCGCUAAGUCGAACGUGAAAUCCCCGAGCUCAACUCGGGAACUGCGUCCGAUACUGGCGGGCUUGAAUCCGGGAGAGGGAUGCGGAAUUCCAGGUGUAGCGGUGAAAUGCGUAGAUAUCUGGAGGAACACCGGUGGCGAAGGCGGCAUCCUGGACCGGCAUUGACGCUGAGGCGCGAAAGCUAGGGGAGCAAACGGG
rnacentral:rRNA from 1 species